GCAGCCUGAACUGACUAAGGCAGCUCCGCUAGAUGACCAAAACUGCUGCAGCUCUUCAGACUCUGGAAAGGAAGUUAUCCCAUUCCACCCCCACUCAGCAAAACACUUGAGAGAGCAGUGGUUUCAGCCAAACCAGACAGAAGGGGGCGCUCCUGAGUCAUCUGAGAAGAGGAUUCUGGGCUGAUGUCUUAGCCGUGGCUCAAGGAACAUCAGAAAUUUUGUCUGUCCAUCCAUCAGUCUGAAGAUCUCACAGUCCUCUGUGACUGUUCCUGACCCCAUCAGAUGGGGGGCCUGAGCCCGGAGUGCUGAGCUGGUCGGUAGGGUGCAGCACAUUCCUCAUCUGGAGCUGACACCUUUAGGACUUUCUUCCCAGUUGUCUUCUUCGGGCUUCCUCCUCCGCACCCUGUCACGCCGAAGCCUCUCACACUCAGGAGUUUCUCCUUCCAGUAAGAAGGCCUGCGUAUGUAUUGGCUUAGGGGAAUGGGAGGUGAGGGUAUGAUGCCUGUAUCAGCUUACACAGCCCCAGAAAAAAAGACUGGCUUUUUGGCUUCUAGUACCUCCAACUUCUCUCUGUCCAAAGGAUGGGGGGCAAUCCCGGGUAUGGUGGCUGGUGUGCAGGAUGAGACCUCUAGACUGCAGACAAAGGCAUUGCCAGCAGAGCUGAGGGCACAGGCCCAAGUCUGGAGUCAGUGGACUUGUACUGGGGGAGGACAUGCAAAAGUCAUCCUCAGAUCUGUUCCCCCUAGAGCAAACUUGUCCAACCCACGGCCUGAGGAGUACAUGUGGCCCAGGACAGCUUUGAAUGCGGCCUGACGCAAAUUUGUAAACUUUCUUAAAACAUGAGAUACUUUUGCGAUAUAUAUAUUUUUAGUUCACAGCUGUCAGUGUUAGUGGGUUUUUGUUGCUGUUGUUUGGAGGAAGUCUUGCUCUCUCAGGCUGGAG